rnacentral:rRNA from 1 species
GUAGGUGGCAAGCGUUGUCCGGAAUUAUUGGGCGUAAAGCGCGCGCAGGUGGUUCUUUAAGUCUGAUGUGAAAGCCCCCCGGCGUCAACCGGGGAGGGUCAUUGGAAACUGGGGAACUUGAGUGCAGGAGAGGAAAGUGGAAUUCCAUGUGUAGCGGUGAAAUGCGUAGAUAUGUGGAGGAACACCAGUGGCGAAGGCGACUUUCUGGCCUGUAACUGACACUGAGGCGCGAAAGCGUGGGGAGCAAACAGGAUUAGAUACCCUGGUAGUCCACGCCGUAAACGAUGAGUGCUAAGUGUUGGGGGGGUUUCCGCCCCUCAGUGCUGCAGCUAACGCAUUAAGCACUCCGCCUGGGGAGUACGGUCGCAAGACUG